rnacentral:pre_miRNA from 1 species
UGUUACAGAUGAGCAAAGAAAGUGGUUUCUUGAGAUGGAAUCUACUUCUGGUGAAGAUGCUGUAAA